rnacentral:rRNA from 1 species
UAGAACCUGAAACCGUGUGCGUACAAGCAGUAGGAGCUCCGCAAGGAGUGACUGCGUACCUUUUGUAUAAUGGGUCAGCGAGUUAUUUUCAGUGGCGAGGCUAACCGAAUAGGGGAGCCGUAGGGAAACCGAGUCUUAAACGGGCGUCACAGUCGCUGGGAAUAGACCCGAAGCCAGUCGAUCUAUCCAUGUCCAGGAUGAAGGUCAGGUAACACUGACUGGAGGUCCGAACGAACCACUGUUGCAAUAGUGCGUCGAUGAGGUGUGGAUAGGAGUGAAAGGCUAAUCAAGGCUGGCGAUAGCUGGUUCUCCCCGAAAGCUAUUUAGGUAGUGCCUCGAGUCAAUACUCUGGGGGGUAGAGCACUGUUUGGAGAAGGGGACCAUCUCGGUCUACCAACUCCAUGCAAACUCCGAAUACCCAGAAGUAAUACUCGGGAGACACACAGCGGGUGCUAACGUCCGUUGUGAAAAGGGAAAUAACCCAGACCAUCAGCUAAGGUCCCAAAGUUUCGGCUAAGUGGUAAACGAUGUGAGAAGGCAUAGACAGCCAGGAGGUUGGCUUAGAAGCAGCCAUCCUUUAAAGAAAGCGUAAUAGCUCACUGGUCUAGUCGGCUCGCGCGGAAGAUUUAACGGGGCUAAGCCGAGCACCGAAGCUAUGGAUGUGGAUGCUCUUCGGAGCGUUCACGUGGUAGGGGAGCGUUCUCUAAGCCUGCGAAGGUGUGCUGUGAGGCAUGCUGGAGGUAUGAGAAGUGCGAAUGCUGACAUGAGUAACGUUAAAGCGGGUGAAAAACCCGCUCGCCGAAAGCCCAAGGUUUCCUGAGCCACGUUAAUCGGCUGAGGGUGAGUCGGAUCCUAAGGCGAGGCCGAAAGGCGUAGUCGAUGGAAAGCAGGUUAACAUUCCUGCACCGAUGGUUACUGCGAUGGGAUGACGGAGAAGGCUAGCUCAGCGGCAGCAGUGCCGUUCAAGGCCGUAGGGGUUCUCUCCUGGAAAAUCCGGAGAGAAGCUAUCCCCGAGAACCGAGUACGAGGAGGCUUCGGCCUUCGAAGUGAGUAAUGCCACGCUUCCGGGAAAAGUCUCUAAGCUUCAGGUAAUCGUUGUCCGUACCGUAAACCGACACUGGUGGGUGAGCAGAUAAUCUGCUAAGGCGCUUGAGAGAACUCGGGUUAAGGAACUCUGCAAAUUGAUACCGUAACUUCGGGAGAAGGUAUGCCUCCCGGUGUGAGGGGAUUUACUCCCUGAGCACUGAGAGGUCACAGGUAAUCGGGGGCUGCGACUGUUUAUCAAAAACACAGGACUCUGCGAACACGAAAGUGGAUGUAUAGGGUCUGACGCCUGCCCGGCGCCGGAAGGUUAAUUGAUGGGGUCAGCCGCAAGGCGAAGCUCCUGAUCGAAGCCCCGGUAAACGGCGGCCGUAACAAUAACGGUCCUAAGGUAGCGAAAUUCCUUGUCGGGUAAGUUCCGACCUGCACGAAUGGCGUAACGCUGGCCCCACUGUCUCGACCCGAGACUCAGUGAAGUUGAAAUCGCUGUGAAGAUGCGGCGUAGCUGCGGAAAGACGGAAAGACCCCGCGAACCUUUACUACAGCUUUACACUGAACUUUGACCUUGUCUGUGC